CUUGGGGGAGGCACUCAUGGCCUAACCACCUCCUAAAGAACCUACUAUCGUGUGUAAUACCAUCAUAUCGGCUGCUGUUAACUAUCAGUACCUGAAUUUUGGAGGGAACACAUUCAAACUAUAGCAUUUAUUUAGGCUAAAAAGAUAGUUCAUUGUCAGUGUAUGAAAAACCUACUGAUUUUUUACGUUGAUUUUAUAUACUGCAACUUUAUUGAAUUCUCAACAAAUGGUGUUAAAAAAACUGGAUGUCCUCAUGAAGAAGAAUGAAAUUGAACACAUCACAUCCCAUAUACAAGAAUCAACUCAAAAUAUUUCCAAAUUCAAACAUUAUGAAGUUUGAGCUAUUUAGGAAGUUAAGGAGAUCAUCAGAUCAUUUCGUCAGACACCCUUAAGAUUCUGUUUCAGAAGUGAAAUGAAGAAAAAUACUUUUCAGAGAGCCACUAAAAUAAUGAAUCAGACAAAAUGAUCUAUUCUUUACAGAAAAUUACUUUUGUAUCAAUAACAAUAACAAUGUUUCCUAGCACAAAUUCUGCUAAGUGCAAUCACUAUUGGGAAAGGUAAAACAGAUACAAGAGCAACUAUAACCCAAAAAGAUUGUGGGAAAUACAUCCAGAGAUACUACAAUAGCUAAAAAUCCUUCUUUGCAUCACUCAUAUUCAAACUACAGGCAUUCCUCAGAGAUACUGUGGAUUCUGUGUCCAGAUCACCACGGUAAAGCCAAUAUUACAAUAAAGUGAGUCAUAUAAA